GGGCCCGCACAAGCGGUGGAGCAUGUGGUUUAAUUCGAUGCAACGCGAAGAACCUUACCUACCCUUGACAUCCUCGGAAUCUGCCGGAGACGGCGGAGUGCCUUCGGGAACCGAGUGACAGGUGCUGCAUGGCUGUCGUCAGCUCGUGUUGUGAAAUGUUGGGUUAAGUCCCGUAACGAGCGCAACCCCUGUCCCUAUUUGCCAGCGAUUCGGUCGGGAACUCUAGGGAGACUGCCGGUGACAAACCGGAGGAAGGUGGGGACGACGUCAAGUCAUCAUGGCCCUUACGGGUAGGGCUACACACGUGCUACAAUGGCAGGUACAAAGGGUUGCAAGACGGCGACGUGGAGCUAAUCCCAUAAAGCCUGCCUCAGUCCGGAUCGGAGUCUGCAACUCGACUCCGUGAAGUCGGAAUCGCUAGUAAUCGUGAAU
rnacentral:rRNA from 1 species